rnacentral:rRNA from 1 species
CAGUAGCCGCGGGAAUACGAAGGGGGCUAGCGUUGCUCGGAAUCACUGGGCGUAAAGGGUGCGUAGGCGGGUCUUUAAGUCAGAGGUGAAAUCCUGGAGCUCAACUCCAGAACUGCCUUUGAUACUGAGGAUCUUGAGUUCGGGAGAGGUGAGUGGAACUGCGAGUGUAGAGGUGAAAUUCGUAGAUAUUCGCAAGAACACCAGUGGCGAAGGCGGCUCACUGGCCCGAUACUGACGCUGAGGCACGAAAGCGUGGGGAGCAAACAGGAUUAGAGACCCCCGUAGUCCCUGUCUCUUAUAC